GACAACGCUGGCGGCGUGCUUAACACAUGCAAGUCGAACGAGAAUCGUAUGAAGGAGGAUUCGUCCAACGGAAUACGAGGACAGUGGCGGACGGGUGAGUAACGCGUGAGUAACCUGCCUUUCAGAGGGGGACAACAGUUGGAAACGACUGCUAAUACCGCAUGACGCAGCGAGGUCGCAUGACCUUGCUGUCAAAGAUUUAUCGCUGAAAGAUGGACUCGCGUCUGAUUAGCUAGUUGGUGAGGUAAAGGCUCACCAAGGCGACGAUCAGUAGCCGGACUGAGAGGUUGACCGGCCACAUUGGGACUGAGAUACGGCCCAGACUCCUACGGGAGGCAGCAGUGGGGAAUAUUGGGCAAUGGGCGCAAGCCUGACCCAGCAACGCCGCGUGAAGGAAGAAGGCUUUCGGGUUGUAAACUUCUUUUGUCAGGGAAGAGUAGAAGACUGUACCUGGCGAAUAAGCCACGGCUAACUACGUG
rnacentral:rRNA from 1 species